ensembl:lncRNA
AUGCCCAGCACUGGAUCCACAUGUAUCAACUCUGAGCUGAGGGGAGGGAUUUCCUCCCCAGACUUGCUCGCAGCACCAGCUCAUGCAGCCCAGAAGGUGCUGGAUUUCUUUGAUGUAAGGACAUGCUGCUGGUUUGUGCCCACGUUGGUGUCCAUUAUAACCUCCAAUUCAUCCUCUGCUGAGCUGCUUUCCCCCCGGCUCUGUGACCUCGCAGCACAGAUGGCCCACCAGUGCAUGUCUUUAGCAGGCACUUUGAAGAUGAAUUGAAAUGACACUUUCUUCUUGAAGAGCUGCUUAUGUCUUAUGUCCAACAGAAGCAGAGAAUCAGUUGGUAAUUUUUAAUUUCAUGCAAGUAUGUUUUAUUCUUCAGCUUUAACAAUUUAAAUUUAUAACCAAACAUGCCUUUCCCUGUAAGCUAAUGGCCAUCUGUCUCUAGGUUGCGUGUGCUAAAGGAGUGCUGUUGAUAGGGGCAGCUGGACACAUCAAUUCAAUCAGUAAGUGUUCUGACAUUCUAUCAUCUCUUGACAAUAAUUUUUUUUUUUUUAGAUUUCUGUGAAUGAGAUCAAAGAGGUGUCAUCUGGAGAAGAUACUCUUAUCUUCCAUUUGUCCCAAUUGCAUCUCUUCUCAUGUUUUGGCUAUUCAUUCCUACCCUUGCAUGAUUUUACAUUUAUUCAUAUUGAAAUGACUCCCACUACCAGGUCAAGCAUUGGGUUAUAUUUCCUUCAUUAUUACCCUGAAAACCAAGCUUUGUUCGAUAACUCAGGAUUCUUCCUUUCUGGAUAGAGGGGUGAGAGGAUGAUAGAUUGUCAGGAAUGAACAGGGUAAGCUAACAGUUUAAUUGUAGCAUCCUACAUGUCACUUUUUAUUUUUUCCUGAGACUUCUUUAGUGAAAGUGGAGAACAUGCUGAACACAUAUAUAACAACGAAUGAUUUAGUCAAAACAAAAGUUCCAGGUAUGCUGUGUCUUGAAAUUGCGUCUUAAUAGUCUGAUUUCAUGUUCCUCACAUUUUGUGUUAUGCACAUGACUCAUCUUUGGUGAUCAUGAAUAGGAAAAUGAUUUGUCACUCAUAAAAAGGUGCUGGGGAACAGCAGUUUCAUGUGAUUGUGUCUUCCUUCAGCUUUUCCCAGAUGAAGAAUCUUUUAGUCUGUUCAAGGGUUUUGUUCUUCUUUUUGUGUGUGUGUGUACGUGCAAAGGGUUCAUUUUGUGUUUAUUACCUGUUUACCUCUCCUAGUUCCGUUGUGUUAUUUGGAGUGAAGGACCAGAAAUGUGCACAUUAACCCAGCACACUUGGAGUUCAUUCAGUGGUCUCCUCUUGCCAGUAGUUGGAUUCAUCUUGCUGCUGAACUUCUUCAUUUUGUCUAGUUCUUUUCGGAAGAAGCAGGAGUAAGCUACCUUAGUAGCAUAUUAGGAUUGGAGAUUUGCUCAUCCUGUGGAGGAAGCCUCCCUCUGGACUUCUAACAUCUCCUUUUCAUUGGCAGAGGAAGAAGGAAGAAGAAAGGAAAAGUGUAAAUGGGUAAAUGUGUACAUUUCAGCUUGAUGUACUGAAGAUUCACAAAGUGUAAUGUUCUCUAUAAUAUGUAAGAUUAGAGAAAAAGCAUGUUGGGGGGGGAAAAAAAAGGCAGAUUUUAAAGAGAACUUUUAAAGAUUACUCCUGCAAUAAGUUUCUGCCAGGGAAAUCUGACACAACACGCUUUGCAGUUGUAUAUGGGGAUAUGUCUGAGUGGAGAAGUUGGCUGUUUUCUAACACGGUGGUGUUGCAGCCUGCUAUUCUAGCUUGAAAAGGCUAAUAAUACCAAGAACUAAUAAAAGAAGACUGAGUUAUUUUUCCCAUGGUGAGCAAUAAUCAGAUAUUGCCUAUGAGUGACAGAGAAAUUUUGUCUGGCGUUUGCAACUUGAGUGUUCAAGAGAGAUUAUGUACUAAUAGUCUUUGCAUUUCUACAGAUUAACUUGUUGAAUUUUCUUUCCAUGAACUUUCAUGGGUAAAUAUGUAACAUAUAAUCACAAGUAUUUAUAAAUGAAUAAAUGCCUGUUUGUGAAUUCAGUAUGUUGAUCUAAACAUGCAAAUUGCAGUAAUUUAUACUGCUAUAAGUAAUCGUGUAAAAAUCAACACUGAACUAUCUCCUCAGCCUAUGAAAAUCAGAUUUUUUUUAAGUCAUUUGUGAUGUUCCUGCAUCACAAUGUUCAUGCACUUUACUGCAUAAGAUUUUUUUAAUGCUUUAUCAGGCUUAUUUUGUAAACAACUCCUAUUUCCAGUGCUUUUUACAUUCUCCUUGGCUAACCUCACAGCAUACAUUUCCAUGUUUUCUUUAUGAUGGGAUGCACAUAGACAAACAUUGAAAAAGUUCUAGCUCCUGUGUAGAGCCCAGACCCUUCCAUUCCUCUUUCCAAGCCUCUUUCCCAGUUUCUGGCGCUGGAGCCAUCCGAAAUCUUCUCAUUUUGUCACAGUAACCACCAUACUUCCUUCCCUUCUGUUAAUAUUUGAAUUGGAUUUUGGGAUUUCUGGUGAUUGUUUAGGUUUGUGGUCGUUGUCUACUACAGUGAGUGCUCAGAGGCCUUCUGGUGGUUCAGGCAGUGUCUGUGAAGACGCGGGUUCAUUUGCAGAGCAUCCAUUGGAGCAGCCUUUACUGGGUCCCCGCUCACAAGCUUGUUCCCUCUGAAGCUGCUGAUUAUCUCCUUGAAUUCAUUCAGCUGCCUUAUCCUCAUAGAGCAGAUUUUGCAAUCCGAUUUGGAAUAUAUAUAUGUAUAUAAAAGAUGAUACUUAGGUGUAUUUGAUCCUUCAGAAAUUGUGAAUUUCAAGACUCAGCAUAAAGCCUUAUUUAUUUAUUUUUUUAACUAACUGGUUUUCUUUUUUUUUUUCCCUCAGCUGCCAGUUCUUUUUAUCUAUUUGGAUAAUCCAAACAUGAAUAGUGAACGUAUUUUUGUAGUAUUUUGUGUGAAUGGGAUAAUCUGCUUCAUUUUCAGCCACAUCCCAGAUCCCAUAUGACCAUUGAUGUGUAUUAAAAAUUAAUUAGUGUUUGAACAUCCCUCCUUAUAGUUCUGAGCACUCUUUAGUCUUCAUGUAAAACUUCUCUGAAGGAUAAGAAGCGUUGCAGAGACAUAAAUCUAGAUUGUAAUAUUUUCAAAUAUAGCAUUAGGCAGUCACUUCUAUAAGCAGACGUAUUAUAUUCUGGUGUUCAUUUUUCUGUCGUUCUCUAAGAAAAGUGCCUGGGCAAACGCUUAGAUUGACUAUAGAAAUAUUUUCACUUGCAUAAAUCUGUGACUCUUUUAUAGGCAGUGGAAUCACUUCUUGAGUGUGAAUAAAAAUAGUCUAAGCCCAAAUGCAACUUUCUAGAAUUGUCUUUUUUGUCUACAGAAAAUCUCCCUUAAAUGCAUUUGCACUUCACUUUCAGUUACAUUAUAACUAAUUUUCAUUAAAGUUGACGUAAAUUUGAAAAUAAAGUUAUGCAGCAGGAGGAAGAAUUACAAGCAAUGAUCAGCAUGAAGUCAUCUUUUUUUUUCUUUCUGUGAAGUUCAUGUAGUCAAUCAAAACAAAAUUAUAUCAGAAGUAGCAUUUAGAACAAAGAUGCAGAAAAAUCAGAAGCAAUCUUGAAUCUAAACCCAGUAAACCAAGAUAAUGGAAAUACAUCUGUUCUUCUCAUGGGGAAAAUUAUUUCAUAUGAUAAACAGAUUAAAACAAAGCUGUAAUUUGUACAAUUUCUUGGAUGACUAGUCAUAAAAAUUGUGUAAUUAUAUAUAUG